GAUUUUCUAGUUAAAUCAGGUCAUGUACAAAGCACAUGAAGGUAGUUUUGUAAUUUUACCCAUUUAUACAUAUCUUCAACACUCUGUCACUCUCAACUCUCUCUCUCUUAACACUCUUUCUCUCUCAACUCAUCUUCAACAACAACAGAAGUUUCUAAUCAGAAUAUUGUUGUUGAUGCACCAAUCAAAUCGAAACAAAACUUUAUCAAAUCAAAGCCAAAACUUAUUGCAAUCGACAGUGUCAAAUUCGGAGUCAAGAUUCCAACAUCAACCCCAUCACCGCAUCUUCUCCCAACCUCUGAUCACCACCACACUCUCUCUCACAGAUCUGAUUUAAACGAAGGGGUUCUUGUAGUUAUCCGUGAGGUGGAGCUUGGUGGUCGUCGGAUUUGAGGAAGCGACCGGAGAUGGUGGUUAUCAGUGGAGUUUGGUUGCCGCCAGAAAUGAGGAACUGGUAGAAAUAGUUUCAGGCGAUGGUGGGUUUAGGCGGUGGUGAAGAUGGCAACACUGUGAUGGUGGUGGUGGCUCAUAGAAAAAGAGAGUUCAGGGAGAAAGAGAGCAACAGAGAUAGUUGAGAAUGAGAUGGUUUCUAAUUUUCUAUUGAUUAUGAAUUAUUAAGUUUUUAAAGU